rnacentral:tRNA from 1 species
CAGGGAGACAACAAAAUGUUAAAUAUUAAUUUUGUCACCUUAGGUCGAUCGGUAUCUCACAUUCUUAAUUUAUUAAGGAUUUUAUUUCCUAAGUUUUUUCUAGGUCACACCCAUUACUUUUCCUGGGCCAUUAGCUCAGGUGGUUAGAGCGCACCCCUGAUAAGGGUGAGGUCCCUGGUUCAAGUCCAGGAUGGCCCAUCUCUCUAUGUUGGGGGUAUAGCUCAGUUGGUAGAGCGCCUGCUUUGCAAGCAGGAUGUCAGCGGUUCGAGUCCGCUUACCUCCACUGAUUACCACCUCUUCCAUAAUUUUAGAAUGGAAAUGUUUUGAGUUGUGAUCAAAUUCUGAACGAAUCUAGCUUCCUAAUUAUCUUUAUUAAGAUGCUGGAUUCAUUGAAUUAAUUUCAUUGUUUUCAGAGAACCUUGACAACUGCAUAGAUUAUUUUAAAGACAAUAAGCAUCUUUAAUGAUGCAGAUUUAUUAUUUGUGCGAAUGCAUUAAUAACAAUUCUAUUAAGCUGAUGCUUCAA